rnacentral:rRNA from 1 species
UACGUAGGGUGCAAGCGUUGUCCGGAAUUAUUGGGCGUAAAGAGCUCGUAGGCGGUUUGUCGCGUCGAAUGUGAAAUCCCGAGGCUCAACCUCGGGUCUGCAGUCGAUACGAGCAAACUAGAGUGUUGCAGGGGAGACUGGAAUUCCUGGUGUAGCGGUGAAAUGCGCAGAUAUCAGGAGGAACACCGGUGGCGAAGGCGGGUCUCUGGGACGGUACUGACGCUGAGACGCGAAAGCGUAGGGAGCGAACAGG